rnacentral:lncRNA from 1 species
UGCAGUGUGUGGGUGCUCUUUCCGGGUGCGACCUGAUGGCCGCUUUCUUGUGCUUCCAUCUAUCUCUGGACCACCUUGGUAUGAUGGCCUCGACAUUAGUAGGUUUUCUAUGUACCGUUGUCGUAGCCGUUGGGGGUUCUCGUGUGAUCUGUGCAUCCAGGUGGUGGGUCUCAUCCUUCUCCUCCUGUUCGAUGUUGAGUUUUGGGCCAAAGUCUUUUGCUGUGGAACUGUGCCGUGGUUCGUUGGCUUUGCUCCUUCCGUUCCGGAUGGCAGGGAUGUCAUCUGCAUGGCGUGCAUAUGGGCUUGUUUCCUGUAUUAUGUCUCUUGCUGUGGUCUCUUCUAUGGAGUGUGGUGCUGGUUCUGUUGAUGCCCC